GCCUACGGGACGCAGCAGUGGGGAAUAUUGCACAAUGGGGGAAACCCUGAUGCAGCGACGCCGCGUGAGUGAAGAAGUAUUUCGGUAUGUAAAGCUCUAUCAGCAGGGAAGAAAUACUGACCUUACGGUCAGCAGACGGUACCUGACUAAGAAGCCCCGGCUAACUACGUGCCAGCAGCCGCGGUAAUACGUAGGGGGCAAGCGUUAUCCGGAAUUACUGGGUGUGAAGGGAGCGUAGACGGUUAAGUAAGUCUGGAGUGAAAGGCCGGGGCCCAACCCCGGGACUGCUCUGGAAACUAUUGAAC
rnacentral:rRNA from 1 species